CAAAACAGGAAGCUUUUAAAUCCUUCACACUUGGCUCAUGCAUGUCCGGACAUGCUAAUGAGUGAAUGAAAUAUUAUUCAGAGAAUGCACUCUCCUAUAGUUUUCAUUCCUAGUUUGAUUGUCUUGAUAUUAGGCUGGUAAUAUUAUAUCCAUAAGAAAGGACUCGCUUUUUUUUGCGCACAUAGAAAACGACGCCGAUAACAAGAGCGCAAGAGCAAG